UACGUAGGGCGCAAGCGUUGUCCGGAAUUAUUGGGCGUAAAGAGCUCGUAGGCGGCCUGUUACGUCUGCUGUGAAAUCCCGGGGCUUAACCCCGGGCGUGCAGUGGAUACGGGCAGGCUGGAGGCAGGCAGGGGAGAACGGAAUUCCCGGUGUAGCGGUGAAAUGCGCAGAUAUCGGGAGGAACACCGGUGGCGAAGGCGGUUCUCUGGGCCUGUACUGACGCUGAGGAGCGAAAGCGUGGGGAGCGAGCCGG
rnacentral:rRNA from 1 species